rnacentral:rRNA from 1 species
AUGGCAGACGCACACUAUCCUCACCUCCUCCCCUUUCCUGUACUUGUAGAGGAAGCCGUCGAUCUUCUUGCCGUUGGGGCCGUCCACCUUGGACGAGACCAUCGGCAUGUCCUCCAUCAUGCUCUUCCGCAGGUCGCCGGUGCUAGUCGUGCGCAUCGUCAGCGACCGGAGGGUCCGCAACGGCGGUUGCUCCUUGACGAUGCCGUUCGGCAGCUUCCCGGCCGGAGAUGGUGCCGGCGGCGGGAGGGACUUGUUCUGGUUGCUGGCAUUGUUAUUAUUAUUAUUAUCAGAAGAUAUCUCCAUGCUCGAUGUGCUCUUCGCCUCAGCGCCAUCAGCACUACCUGCACCAAUGCAGGGGAGAAGAUGUCACAUUUUCAUAUUCCAACAUGUCAAUAA